AGUGAACGCUGGCGGCAGGCCUAAUACAUGCAAGUCGAACGGCAGCACGGCAGAGCUUGCUCUGUGGGUGGCGAGUGGCGGACGGGUGAGGAAUACAUGGGAAUCUGCCCAGUCGUGGGGGAUAACGUAGGGAAACUUACGCUAAUACCGCAUGCGCCCUUCGGGGGAAAGCCGGGGACCUUCGGGCCUGGCGCGAUUGGAUGAGCCCAUGUCGGAUUAGCUAGUUGGCGGGGUAAAGGCCCACCAAGGCGACGAUCCGUAGCUGGUCUGAGAGGAUGAUCAGCCACACUGGAACUGAGACACGGUCCAGACUCCUACGGGAGGCAGCAGUAGGGAAUAUUGGACAAUGGGCGCAAGCCUGAUCCAGCCAUGCCGCGUGAGUGAAGAAGGCCCUCGGGUUGUAAAGCUCUUUUGUCCGGAAAGAAAAGCGCCGGGUUAAUACCCUGGUGUCCUGACGGUACCGGAAGAAUAAGCACCGGCUAACUUCGUGCCAGCAGCCGCGGUAA
rnacentral:rRNA from 1 species